AGAAAGCGGAGAAGUUGCAAAGAAAAAACGACUAAACCACAAACAGGGUCUUUAAUAUAAGGAUUCCAUUUCUAUCCAAAACCUUAUCCUCGUGAUUCUCACCCACACAUCAUUCUGAUUUCUGAUCAAGUUUGCUUCCACUUUUGCUAAUUGCAUGGCUUCCAAGACCACAAUUCAUUGCUGCUUCCGCGGUGAAGACACACGCAAUAGCUUCACUGGUUUUCUUUUUCAAGCUCUUAGUAGAAAAGGCACCAUUGAUGCAUUCAAAGAUGGUAAAGAUCUCAAGAAAGGCGAAUCCAUAGCGCCAGAGCUGAUCCAAGCCAUUCAAGGGUCUCGCCUUUUCUUCAUUGUGGUGUUUUCAAACAACUAUGCUUUCUCAACUAUCCGAAAAAAGCUACAAUAUGCAGAGAUUGAAGAUCUUGAAAAGAUAACAAAUAUACUGGGUCACAAAUUUUCAAGUCUUCCAAAUGAUGAUCUGGUUGGGAUGGAAUCUUGUGUUAAAGAAUUAGCAAAGCUUUUACGUUUGGGGUCCGUUAAUGACAUUCAAGUUGUGGGGAUGAGUGGGAUAGGUGGAAUAGGAAAAACAACUCUUGGUCAUGGUUUUUAUGUAGAAAUCUCUCAUUAAUAUGAUUUUCGUUGUUUCAUUGAUGAUGUAAGCAAAAUUGAUCAGAAUUCUAGUGUAUCAGGUUUACAAAAACAAUUACCUUGUCAAUCUCAGAAUGAAAAAAGUUUAGAGAUUUACCAUCUAUUUAAGGGAACAUGUUUGUUAUUGACUAGACUAUGCUAGCAAGGGAAUUGAUAGUUCUUGAUAAUGUUGAUCAAGUUGGACUCCUAAAGAUGUUUCCAAGGAGUAGAGAUACUUUGUUACGUGAAUGCCUAGGUGAAGGGGGCAGAAUCAUCAUAAUUUCUAGGGAUAAGCAUAUAUUGAUGAGACAUGGAGUAGAUGAUGUUUACCAAGUCCAAGCAUUGGAUCACGAACAUGCUGUUCAGUUGGUUUGCAGAAAUGCUUUCAAAAGUAAUUAUGUUAUGACCGAUUAUAAAAAGUUGGCUUAUGACAUACUAUCACAUGCCCAAGGCCAUCCCUUAGCAAUGAAGUAUUGGGCUCAUCUUUGUUUGGUUGAAAUAUUAUGGAUGUACUGCAAAUAAGUUUUGAUGAGUUGGAGGAUACCGAGAAGGGAAUAUUUUUGGAUAUUGCUUGCUUGCUUAUUCUACAUAUACCCUGUGCAAUAUUUGAUGAAAGUUAUUGAUUUUCGUGGAUUUCAUCCUAAAUAUGGCCUUCAAGUUCUAAUUGAUAGAUCACUCAUAACCAUUAAAUAUGAAUUGAUUCAUAUGCGUGACUUGUUGAGAGAUUUAGGCAGGUAUAUUGUUCGAGAAAAAUCACCUAAGAAGCCAAGAAAAUGGAGUAGAUUAUGGGAUUUCAAAAAGAUCUCCACAAAGGCAGCAGAUUAUCUUGAAGCCAUGGUUAUUAAAAAUAAAGCAACUUUCCUCAAACAACAAUAAGGGCAGAUGCUCUAUCAAAAAUGAUUCACCUUAAGUUGCUCGUACUUGAAAAAAUGAAUUUUUCAGGAAGACUUGGUAAUCUUUCCAAUGAAUUAGGAUAUCUUACUUGGAAUGAAUAUCCUUUUGAGUGUUUGCCACCUAGUUUUGAGCUGGACAAUCCUGUUAGGUUGCUUUUGCCUAAUAGCAACAUCAAACAACUAUGGGAAGGCAUGAAGCCUCUACAGUCUACACAAUUUGAGACAUUUGAUUCUCUCAUUCCAAAAAUCCAAUUGAGAUGCCAGAUAUUGGGGAGGCCCUAAAUCUUGAGUGGCUAGAUCUCCAAGGACGUAUACAACUUAGGCAGAUUGAUCCAUCCAUUGGUCUUCUAAGAAAGCUUAUUUUUGUGAAUUUCAAAGACUGCAAAAGUCUUACCAAGUUACCACAUUAUCAUAUUUGGCCUCAAUUCUCUUGAAUAUUUGUUUCUUUACGGCUGUUCAAAACUGUAUAAUAACCAGUUAUUGAAUGAACCUAGGGAUGUAGAACAUUUGAUGAAGAUUUAUAUAGGUAAAGCUCCUUUUUAUCCCCAAUCAACACCUUCCUACUCCAGAGAACAUAAAAGUUGAGUUAGCUAUUUAUUGCCUUCCUCGCCAAUUUUCCCAUGUAUCUGCAAACUUGAUCUAAGUUUCUGUAAUUUACUUCAAAUCCCUGAUGCUAUCGGAAAUUUAUGUUGCUUAGAAAGCCUAGAUUUAAGUGGAAACAAUUUUUCUAUACUGCCCAACCUCAAGGAGCUUUCCAAACUGUUCCAUUUAAACUUACAACACUGCAAGCAGUUGAAACAUUUGCCUGAGCUCCCUUCAUGAUUUGACUUCCCAUCACCUACUUACAUGCUGCCAUGGAUAAAAUAUCUAUCUAGUGGAAGAGAUGCAGGAUUAUACAUUUUCAACUGCUCAAAAUUGGUUGAGAGGGAACGCUGCUCAAACAUGGGUUUUUCAUGGAUGAUACAAAUUAUUCAGUACAUGGAGCAUCACCAGUACAAAAAUUUUGAUUACCCUCUAAUGGAAUUUGCAAGAAUUUAAAGUGUUACUCUUGGAAAUGAAAUACCAAGGUGGUUCAACAAUCAACAUUUGGGCAGUUUAAUAAGCAUAGACGCAUCACCCGUUAUGGAUGACAAUGAUUGGAUCGGCGUGCUGUGUUAUAUUUGUGGUACAUCAUGAAACAGUUUUAGCUAUGAGUCCUUCAAAACAAAAGGAAGGUAUCCUUUUAUUGUUGAUAUGGCGGUGGAUUUUUAUGGAGAUCUAGAACUAGUUUCAGACGAAUCAGAACACAUGUGGCUAUUCUUUCUCAGUCAAAGACUAUUCAUUGAAGAAUAUCAUCUGCAGGGCACAUCUAACCUCGGUAGCAUGAAACAGGAAUUUAAAAUAAUUAGCUACUAGCCAGGUUUUCAUGUUGAGGUGAAGAAAUACGGGUAUCAUUGGGUAUAUAAACAGGAUCUUGAACUAUCAAACUUAACUAUGAUGCAUAGCGGAAAUUUGUCAGCUUAGAAGCACAAGUUUUUGGCAAUUGAACAAAAUGAAGGAAAAAAUCAAGGAAAAAGAAGCAAAGGAAGAAUCUCAGCAGAAGGAAGAAAAGAUGCUGCCAAACCCUCCCUGGAAAACUCAAUCAAGUUGCUGCAAAUAUAUCAUCAGAAAUUAUGCAAGCUACAAGCAAAGGAGAAAUGUACAAAAAGAAGAAAAGAAAAACCCUCAUGUCAGGCAAUCUAAGAAUCAAGAAGUCAAGCUAACAAACUAGAUUUCUGCCUAAGAAGAAAAGAAGCGAGUAAAAAUAUUUUGAUGCAGUCACUAUAUCAUUUCCUUCUGUCAUGUCUUAUGCACUAACACAAAUUGAAUCUAUUUCAGAUUUUGAUCUAGACAGUUAUUCUCCUGUCCUCUAACAUCAAAGAUGUUUAUUCUUUAAGAAAAAGAACAGAAAAAAAGGAAGCGACAGCGCCCCAAUGCUCUCCCUUAUGUUGCUGGAGAGGCUUGUCUCUACCCAUGUUUACAGCAUGUAAAUUCACAUACCCCUCUUCAGUCACUAGGAUGUGUCCUCAUACCUCGGACCGCACUUAAAUUUACACACUAUUCCUUGUUUUGUAUUUUCCUUACAUUACUCUUAUUCCUUGUUUUGUUUUGUCAAAAACUUUUUUUUGGAUCUUUACAUGUUAGUGCAGGGUGCAGACUUGUAUAAUAUCUCAAUCAUGCAUGACAACAUGGAGAUAACUUCUUUUUUUUUUAAUUUUUUUCAUAUCACUCAGUCUGAUAAACGGGAAGUUUCCAAAACUUCAGAAAAAGAUUUGACUAAGAAAAAGUAAGGAACAGAUUUCUCAUA